rnacentral:lncRNA from 1 species
ACUGGUGGCACUGGGGAUGGUGGCUCCAGGACAGACUGUGGCACACACUGGGGGUGACCAGUGACACCAGACAUGGUGGCACUGGGGAAAGUGGGGACAGUAGGGAUGGUGGCACCAGUGGCACUGGAGACACUGGGGACACUGGUGGCACUGGGGAUGGUGGCACUGGGGAUGGUGGCACUGGGGAUGGUGGCACUGGGGACACUGGGGACACUGGUGGCACUGGGGAUGGUGGCACUGGGGACACCGGUGGCACUGGGGACACCGGUGGCACUGGGGAUGGUGGCACUGGGACACGCUGGGUGACAGGUGGCAGUGCUGCCACUGGGGAUGGUAUCAGCAGGGGGGACACUGGGGGUGACAGCGGUGGCGCCACUGGUGGCACUGGUGACAAUGACAGCACUGGUGACACUGGUGAUGGUGGCAGCGGUGACAUUUAUGGCAGCGGAUGGUGACAGCAGUGACAGUGGCACCGCUGGCACCGGUGACACCGGUGGCAGUGGAUGGUGGCAGCGGUGACAGCAGUGGAUGGUGGCAGCGGUGACAGCAGCGGAGGAUGGCAGCGGUGGUGGCACUGGAUGGUGACAGUGGGGACAGCAGGGGUGGCACUGGCGGCCCUGGGAAGGUGGCAGCGGGGUGACAGCGGUGGCACUGACGAGCUGGCACUGCUGUCCCUGUCCCAGCACUGGGGGUGGCACUGGUGGCCCUGUCCCUGUCCCCAAUGGCCCUGUCCCUGUCCCUGGUGGCACCGGGGAGGUGACAGCGGUGGCACUGGUGUCCCCCUGGCACCGCCGGUGACACCGGUGGCCCUGUCCCUGUCCCCAGCCGCGAGGGUGGCACUGCUGACCCUGCUCCUGGUGACAGUGGUGGCACCGGUGGCCCUGUCC